AAUUAGGACAAAUGUCGGACGCCAUCUUGAAACUUUCAAACGGAAGCGGAACAAACAAUGAUAUUACUGCAACACUCCUUCCUAUUUGUCUUGAAAAUAUGUCAGCAAACAAAGAAGCAUUUACCCAACCUCUAUCACCUAAUGAAAAAAUACCAACCACAACUGCGGCGUUCACCCAAGCUCAAACACCUGUCAAAUACAACCUUCCUGUUUCUGUCAAUUCGCGUCAACAGUUUAAUAUCCAAAAGGGAAGGAAUGAAUAUCAGGUCAUUACUAGCUGCAUCAAAAUAGGCAAUUCAUUGGUGUUUACCGACUAUAAUAAUGACCAACUUAUUAUUUG